GACGAACGCUGGCGGCGUGCUUAACACAUGCAAGUCGAACGGAAAGGCCCUGCUUUUGUGGGGUGCUCGAGUGUCGAACGGGUGAGUAACACGUGAGUAACCUGCCCUUGACUUUGGGAUAACUUCAGGAAACUGGGGCUAAUACCGGAUAGGAGCUCCUGCUGCAUGGUGGGGGUUGGAAAGUUUCGGCGGUUGGGGAUGGACUCGCGGCUUAUCAGCUUGUUGGUGGGGUAGUGGCUUACCAAGGCUUUGACGGGUAGCCGGCCUGAGAGGGUGACCGGCCACAUUGGGACUGAGAUACGGCCCAGACUCAUACGGGAGGCAGCAGUGGGGAAUAUUGAACAAUGGGCGGAAGCCUGAUGCAGCAACGCCGCGUGCGGGAUGACGGCCUUCGGGUUGUAAACCGCUUUCGCCUGUGACGAAGCGUGAGUGACGGUAAUGGGUAAAGAAGCACCGGCUAACUACGUG
rnacentral:rRNA from 1 species